UACGGGGGGGGCAAGUGUUGUUCGGAAUUACUGGGCGUAAAGCGCGCGUAGGCGGCCCUUCAAGUCGGGCGUGAAAGCUCCGGGCUUAACCCGGAAAUUGCGUUCGAUACUGUCGGGCUAGAGUGUGGAAGGGGCUACCGGAAUUCCGUGUGUAGCGGUGAAAUGCUUAGAUAUGACACAGAACACCGAUUGCGUAGGCAGCUCGCUAAACUGUAACUGACGCUGAGGCACGAAAGCGUGGGGAGCAAACAGG
rnacentral:rRNA from 1 species